rnacentral:lncRNA from 1 species
ACGGAAGUUAGCGCGCUAAUUUGUGAACCGCAAGCGCACGGAUCAUCAUUAGCUUUUUUCAUAGAGUAUUCCAUCCAAGUUUUAUCAAUUCGUGUAUCAGCUGCGAAUUGGCUAGGAUUUUCUAUCUAGUCUAAUAGAUCUAUCCUAACAUAAGCAACGAUUGCAUAUAAAGGUAAACUUAAUAGAUAUGAAUGAUAGAGCAUAGGUUGAUCAUAUCCACAGAUACAUAUAAGAUAGCAUAACCAAGGGUAACAAGAGCCUAUCAUCUUCUAGUUGUAGUUCUAGCAAAUAAGCAAGAAUAUCAUGCAUCUCAUCCAAAGCAAUCUUUAAACUACUACCUCCGGUCAACCUCCUGAAAACCCCCACCUUACACGGAAGCAGACCCUGUCACGAUCACCCCUAUCAGUGCAGGCAGUUUAAGGCACGAACACAGGUGAACAUGUUUAGCUAUCAUGAAGGAUCGACAUACUAGAUAUAAUCACCAUGAUUAAUCCAGAACUAGACUAGGAACAAGCAUAUCCACAAUAAAUAGAAAGCAUAGAAGGAGGCAUUGAGUUGCUAACAGAUCGGAUGACAUGAAGAACAUUGCUUACAUAAUAGAUGUAUUUAGAUCAUCACCUCCGAGUACAUACUAUCAAUUGUCUACUACUUCUCCUGAACUCCACCA